UACGUAGGGUGCAAGCGUUAAUCGGAAUUACUGGGCGUAAAGCGUGCGCAGGCGGUUUUGUAAGUCUGUCGUGAAAUCCCCGGGCUCAACCUGGGAAUUGCGAUGGAGACUGCAAGGCUAGAAUCUGGCAGAGGGGGGUAGAAUUCCACGUGUAGCAGUGAAAUGCGUAGAGAUGUGGAGGAACACCGAUGGCGAAGGCAGCCCCCUGGGUCAAGAUUGACGCUCAUGCACGAAAGCAUGGGGAGCGAACAGG
rnacentral:rRNA from 1 species